CCGAGAGGCAUCUCAUCGGGGUUUAAAGGGUAAUACCGGCUACGGAUGGCCGUGCGGCGCAUUAGCUAGUUGGCGGGGUAACGGCCCACCAAGGCGAGGAUGCAUACGGGUUCUGAGAGGAAGGUCCGCCACACUGGUACUGAGACACGGACCAGACUCAUACGGGAGGCAGCAGUGAGGAAUAUUGGUCAAUGGGCGCGAGCCUGAUUUUUUUUUGUCGCGUGAGGGAAGACGGUCCUAUGUAUUGGAGGCCUCUUUUGUUUGUUUUUUUUUUACCCCCCCCCCGGCGUUCCGAGAGUACUUUAACAAAAAGCAUCGGCUAACUCCGUAAAAGCAGCCGCGGUAAUACGGAGGAUGCGAGCGUUAUCCGGAUUUACUGGGUUUAAAGGGUGCGCAGGCGGAAGAUCAAGUCAGCGGUAAAAUUGAGAGGCUCAACCUCUUCGAGCCGUUGAAACUGGUUUUCUUGAGUGAGCGAGAAGUAUGCGGAAUGCGUGGUGUAGCGGUGAAAUGCAUA
rnacentral:rRNA from 1 species